rnacentral:rRNA from 1 species
AAGUCGAACGAGAGGACAAGAGAAGCUUGCUUCUUUUGGAAUCGAGUGGCAAACGGGUGAAUAACACGUAAACAACCUGCCCACCACUUGGGGAUAACCUUGCGAAAGUAAGACUAAUACCCAAUGACGUCUCUAGAAGACAUCUGAAAGAGAUUAAAGAUUUAUCGGUGAUGGAUGGGGAUGCGUCUGAUUAGCUUGUUGGCGGGGUAACGGCCCACCAAGGCAACGAUCAGUAGGGGUUCUGAGAGGGUGAACGGCCACAUUGGAACUGAGACACGGUCCAAACUCC